rnacentral:rRNA from 1 species
UACAGAGGUCCCAAGCGUUGUUCGGAUUUACUGGGCGUAAAGGGUGCGUAGGUGGUGAGGUAAGUCUGAUGUGAAAUCUCCGAGCUUAACUCGGAAAUGGCAUUGGAAACUACCUUGCUAGAGGGUUGGAGGGGGGACUGGAAUACUUGGUGUAGCAGUGAAAUGCGUAGAUAUCAAGUGGAACACCAGUGGCGAAGGCGAGUCCCUGGACAACUCCUGACACUGAGGCACGAAAGCUAGGGGAGCAAACAGGA